rnacentral:rRNA from 1 species
CACGUAGGGGCCAAGCGUUGUCCGGAUUCAUUGGGCGUAAAGAGCUCGUAGGCGGUUCAGUCAGUCGGGUGUGAAAUCUCCGGGCCCAACUCGGAGGGGCCACCCGAUACUGCUGUGACUCGAGUCCGGUAGGGGAGUGGGGAAUUCCUGGUGUAGCGGUGAAAUGCGCAGAUAUCAGGAGGAACACCGGUGGCGAAGGCGCCACUCUGGGCCGGUACUGACGCUGAGGAGCGAAAGCGUGGGGAGCGAACAGG